GUUUCUGUUGUUUUGAAGUCCAGCUUUAAUCCAUGGUGGUCUGAUAAGAUACAAGGCAUAAUUUCAAUUUUCUUGUAUCUGUUGAGGCUUGCUUUGUGACUGACUAUAUGGUCAGUCUUGGAGAAGGAUCUAUGUAUAAAGCAAAAUGUAAUGUUUACGUUGUGGAUUGGUGGUUUCCUGAAGAAGGGGUGGUCUCUUGAUGGUCUCAAGAAUUCUAUGAAUGUCAAGAAUGUGGAAGAGUCUGGGACUCUGAUUUGAAGGCAAUUUCACCUGAACUCCAUUCCUCUUUGUGACUGAAAUGGACAUAUGCUUAACAGUAGAGCUUCAUCUGGUACAGAUGAACCAGAAUCAGCAAGACAGUUUUUGAAGCUCAGUUUGCUGACUACCAACCUACAGUUUCUGAGUUCUGGUUUCCCAAGAGAAGACUGCCAAACACAAGGUCAGAAGAUCAGAAGACUGGGCUGUGAGAAUUUUCUCUGAUCUUGUUGGCAUCCAUACAAAUAAUACCUCUAAUGCUCUUUAUCUUCAUUUUGUCACUGAAAAUAAAAAGAUCAAGAUUGUUCCACAUCAAUAAGCUUGGAUUCCCUCCUUUCCACUGUUAAAAUCAGGAUCACAUUCUUUGAUGGUAAACACAAUUAUAAUCUGUCAGAAUUUAUUGAAUAGGUAUUGCUUAUGGCUCCAUUCCUUUGAUUUAUUGACUAUAAUUAUGGAAAUUAAUUUCUACAUAUUAAAGACAUGCAUAGCUUUGAAGAAAUGUAUUUAUAGUUGUAUAGCUUUUAUUAUAGAGAAAUAUGUAGAGAUAAGAAAUCAAGAUUCAGAUCUUGAGCUUUUAAAAGAGGAGAUGUUUAAUUUUUAUAAACUUAUGUGAAGUGGUAUACAAAAUCCAGAAAGAUCACAACUGAGACUCACUGAUUUCCAUAUACAUUCUGAAAUCAUUCACAGCUUCUCUUAAUAGAUACUGAGAUCCUUUUGCAUAAGUGGAGACAGAAUACUGAACAACAUAGAAAUGCUUCCUGCCCCUGUGCUGUUCAAAGGCUAGUGGGACAAAUAAACCUUGAAAUAAUAACUCC
rnacentral:lncRNA from 1 species